UACGGAGGGGGUUAGAGUUGUUCGGCAUUAUUGGGCGUAAAGCGCGCGCAGGCGGUCUCUUAAGUCUGAUGUGAAAGCCCACGGCUCAACCGUGGAGGGUCAUUGGAAACUGGGAGACUUGAGUGUAGGAGAGGAAAGUGGAAUUCGACGUGUAGCGGUGAAAUGCGUAGAGAUGUGGAGGAACACCAGUGGCGAAGGCGACUUUCUGGCCUAUAACUGACGCUGAGGCGCGAAAGCGUGGGGAGCAAACAGG
rnacentral:misc_RNA from 1 species